UACGUAGGUGACGAGCGUUAUCCGGAAUUACUGGGCGUAAAGCGCACGCAAGCGGUCUAACAAGUCUGGCGUGAAAUCCUCUGGCUUAACCAGGGGCGGUCGCUGGAGACUGUUAAACUUGAGGCGAUGAGAGGGGUGCAGAAUUCCCGGUGUAGUGGUGGAAUGCGUAGAUAUCUGGAGGAACACCGGUGGCGAAGGCGGCGUUCUGGACUGCAACUGACACUGAGGAACGAAAGCCAGGGGAGCAAACGGG
rnacentral:rRNA from 1 species